rnacentral:lncRNA from 1 species
AGGGGCGUCUGGGCAUGGCUUUCCCAACCUAGUAACUGCAACUUUUAGCAUCCUACAUGUAGGACUUGGGAAUAUGUGAGACAGCGCCAAGAAUUUAAUCCAGGAGAAUUGACAAGCUUAAAUGAAAUCCAUAUUGCCCACUGAUUUUGUGCAGCUUCAGAUAAGUAAUCUUUCUCCACUUAGCCUUUUGUAACAAUUGAUGUAAUAAAGGUUUGUAGUCUUUGUGUAAUUUAUUAAAGCAUUGUGCCUAAAAUAGAAAAAAAGCAUAGGAACCAUAGGCUGUGUUUUCUUUUGAUUUAAUAUUUUCAUUUCUUCAGUUAAUAGAAAUUUGCCAAAUUCUGAUCUUUCUCAUAACUAAGCAUUUGAAAUCUGGUGUGUAUUUUAUACUUAUAGCAUAUCUCAGUACUUGAUUUCAUAAAAUUUCCAGCUGAAAAAAUAGAUUCACGUACCCAAGUCGUUCCAAGCAUACUUAAAAGUUUUACGGUAAUCGAAUCGUGUAUAUUUUUAAAUUUUAUUUUAAAUUAAAGUUAGGAUUAUGAAUUCAGUUCCUAAAUUAGCCUCAUUUCACUUCUGCAUUUCAAGUGGGACAAGUUAUUACCAUAUUGGACAAUGCAGUCUAGUGAAGUAGAGGAUAGUGGAAAGUCAGACUUAAAAAGUUGUUUAGAACCAGCUCUGGAAGGCCUUGGAUGUCAGAUUAAAGGACUGAGAUUUUACCCUUGAGUCAGGCAGAAUAAUGGAUGGUUUUUGAACUAAGGAGUGACACAAGGUUGUGCUUAUGACUAGAAGGAGGCCACUAGGUGGCCAGCUGGUGAGUCAGGACACCCUUCAGUUGCUUUGACUUCAGCCCUGUGGAUUCAAAGUCUGAUUUUUGUCAGCGCUCUAGAGCAGUCUCACCAAAAGUGUGGUCCACAAGGCAGUGCCAGUCUGUAAGCCCUUUGUUACACAUCCAUGUCAAGGCAUUUACAGAAAGUAAGAAUUUAGAAACUUAUAGCAGUUUAACAGACUAAUUUUAUUUCUGUGGGUCUAAUAAAAAUUUGAGGGAUUGUACUUUGCAUAUUCUUUAUUUCCCUUUUUUUGUUUGUUUAUCAUAUUACAUAAAAGUACCUAUGGUCUCACAGAUGAAGGGAGUCAGAAGAACCAAACUCCCAGAAGACAUAUAAAUCUAAAUGCCUUUUUUACUUUAGAGUGAAAACUGUAAUAGCUAAAUUAUAAUGGACAUCUGCUCAUUUUCUCCCUCCAUGUAGACAUGGAAAGCUACACGGAAAUAACCGAGUUUAUAGUAGCUACCAUAUAUUAAACGUUUCCUGUAUGCCAGCCACUGUGCAAAGCAUAUUAUAUAUAUUGUCUCAUUUAAUCCUCACAACUCUGUAAAAUAAGUAUUGUUUGCCCCAUUUUUCCAAUGAAGAAACCGAGGCUAAAAUAGGUUGAAUAACUUACCUAAAUUCACCAUCCUCAAAGGUGUUAAAGACAGGAUUCCAGUACAGGUCUCUCAUUUCCUUCAUGAUUAGGAAUACUACUUUGAAAUGAGAGACCUGUACUGUAUCUGUUAAUUCCAAAUUCCCUGGCAUAAAGACUCAGUACAUUGUUUAAAGAGAAUGCAUGAAGUUAACUGCAUUACCUUUUGGAGGGUUCAUUUGUGAAUUUGGGGCCAAAGUAAGGGGAGUUACUGGUAUUCUAAUAGCAUCAAACAAAUGAAUUCAUUUCAUCUUUUGGGGAGGUGGAGGGAAUAAGGUCUCACCUUGUCGCCCAUGCAGGCUGGAAGGCCGUGAUGUGAUCUCAGCUCACUGCAGCCUCAACCUGGGCUCAAGCGAUCCUCCCACCUCAGCCUCCUGAGUAGCUGGGACUACAGGUGCACACCACCACGCCCAGCUCAUUUUUGUAUGUUUUGUAGAGACUGUGUUUUGCCACGUUGCCCAGGCGAACUCCUGAGCUCAAGCGAGACACCCACCUUGACCUCCCAAAGUGUUGGGAUUACAGACAUUAGCCACCACGCCUGGCCUGUAAACAGGAAUAACUUUCUUGCUGUGUGAUUCAAUGUUAUUUACUGCUUUGUUCAUGUACUGCCUAUGUUGAUUAUCACCAGUGGUAUGGAUCCUGCACAUUGGGAAACACUGCAGUGUUAUUUAAUUUUGUUCACUGUGUUUACAGUGCAGUUUUAGUCACCUGAAAUUCUAAGAGAAAAGAUCAAUAUGGUUUUGCCAAUCAAAGGUCAUUAAUACUUGGAAUGAAAGAUAACUUAUCCUGGUGAUGAACACAUGCCUUUUGAAAAGCAUCAGUAUCUCCUUAAAAUGUAUAAACUACUGUAAUCAAUGAGGAAGACUUUUUCUUAUCAGAUUUAUUAAACUCAUUUACCAUACAAAUAGCAUUAUAACAUUAAAGAAAAUUUUUUAAAAAUUCUGUACCAUAAAACAAUUACUGGUUCCUUCCUACCUGUUUUUAGGUUUGCAGAUGAAUAAUGUGUGGAUUUUUGGCAGACACACUGCUGAAAAUUUUUCACUUUGUUGGGUGAGCAUCUCACCCUAUCUCCAUUUGUCUCCCUGCUCGUGAGUUCUAGAGAAGACCACCAGUAAGCAAGUGAAAUUCUUUGGCCAAGUCACUGAUAUCAGAAUUCCCCAGAGGCACCAAGAACUUUGAUUUCCAGAAAUUGUUUAGGCACAGCCACUCAUUCAACCUUAUAUUUUGUAUCUCAGAGUUAAGGUUGCAUUUGGGCUACCUAGCCUGUAGACUCUAUUUUAAGACAAGCAGGCAUUUAAUAGUUGUGGGCAAAUGUGCAAGCUUAGUAGAAUCUAAAAGGAUACUUCAGCCUUUGUUUGAGUUGCAGAAAAUUAACAUGGUAAGGAGGAAAAAAUCACUAAUUUUUUUAAAAAGUUCCCUGAUACAGGAACUGAAAAUGAUUUUUGACCAACCUGGGCAAUAGAGCAAAAUCCCAUCUCUACAAAAAAAUACAAAAAUUAGUCGGGCAUGGUGGUGCUGCCUGUAGUGACGGCUACUCAUCCUGAGGUGGGAAGAUUGCUUGAGGCCAGGAGGUUGAGGCUGCAGUGAGCCAGGAUCACACCACUGCACCAGCCUGGGCUACAGAGUAAGACUCAAGAAAAAAAAAAGAUGUUUAAUUAAUCUUGCUUCAGUGCUGAGGUGGUACAGGGAGGGAGAAAGGGAUAUUGGGCUAUGAAUUCCAUCUAAACUGGGGAUUUUUAUCAGGGUGUGAAGAAAGAUUUUCAGGAAUAAUUAUCUGAGUUACUUGGAGUAAAAGUAGCAGGAGGAGGAAAAGAGAUAUGGCCUGUGGGUCUCUGACUUGCCAAACUUCUUAUUCAUUUUACAAAUCAUGAUUUCUAGAGCAUCUUAAUCUUUGAGGCCCAGCUGCUUGGAAGUUGCAUAAUCUCUAUACUUCAGUUCCCCCCUAUAAAAUGGGGAAUAUGAUAGAAUCUACCUUGUAUUUGAGAGGACUAAAUAAAUAUAAAGUGCUUAGAAAAGUAAGGACUCAACUACUAGUAAUAAUUAUUUUGACAUGUUUAAGUAAUCAGUACUAUCUGGAAAACUGUGCUAAUAGUGCCUGAUCUACACAAAUUUAAGUGACUAUACCCCUUUUUUGAGUCAGAGUCUCACUACGUUACCCAGGCUGGAGUACAGUGGUACGAAAACUCUGGACUUCAAGUGAUCACCUGCCUCAGCCUUCUAAGGUGCUAGGAUUAUAGGCUUGAGCCACUGCAGCCACCACUCUGUAUAUCUCUUUUGAAAGUCAUAAGCAAUAUCUUUGGAAAAAACACUUAAGGUUAUUUAUUUAGAGGUAGUGUCUCUCUGUACCCCAGCUGGAGUACAGUGGCACAGUAUCACAGCUUGCUGCAGCAUCAAAUUCCUAGGCUCAAGCCAUCCUUCCACCGGACAUGUUGGCGUGCACCUCCUGAGUAGCUGGGACUACAGUUGUGCUCUACCACACCGGGCUAAUUUUUGUAUUUUUUAGUAGAGACAGGGUUUUGCCAUGUUAGACAGGCUGGUCUGGAACACCUGACCUCCGGUGAUCUGCCCACCUCAGUCUCCCAAAGGGCUGGGAUUAAAGGCAUGAGCCACCGCACUCAGCCACUUAAGGCUUUUAAAAAAUCAAUUAAUUUCUAAAUGGUUUUGGACUUUUGACUCCUUAUAAGUGUUAAGAUAUUUUGGUAUCACUUUUUUCCUUCCAAAAAAAAAAAAAAAACCAGGAGUUUGCAGUGAGCCAAGAUAGUGCCAUCGCACUCCAGCCUGGACAACAGAGCGAGACUCCAUCUAAAAAAAAAAAAAAAAAAAAAAAAAACUCAGUUUUUGGUUUUGAAAAUGUCAUGAUACCUGUUGAGAUAACUGCUGAAUAGAUGGGUAAUACACAGUCUAGGGCAUGGUAUCAAAAGAACUUGUCACUGUACAUAUCGGAAAUGGUAAAAAUAUGUUUUGCCGUUUUCACGAAUUCAUUCAUUUUUCAUGUUUCAUGAAUUCAUUCUUUUUAAAAAAAAAAAAUCCUGCUAAUUCUCUGUUUCUCUUGCUUUUCUCCUUUAUGACUAAGUUUUCCUCAUUAUGGGUUACCCCACAUUACUGCUUACGAAGACAUCUCUUUAGUCAGAAAACAGUAGCUUGGUUCAGUUCUAGCUUCAUUGUUAAGCUCAUAGGUAAAUCUGGCAAAUGGCUAGAAACAGUCACAUGUUUGCUUGUCCUUAAUGCUCUCACCUUUUCCCAGCUAUUUGGAUGUAUAUACUUUUGCUUACUUUGUAGUGUACCAACUUAAUAUAUGUUAUAGACUAAAUGUUUAUGUCCUCCCAAACUUCAUAUUUUGGAAGCCAGACAUGGUAACUCACACCUGUAAACCUAACACUUUGGGAGGCCUAGGUGGGAGGAUUGCUUGAGUCCGGGAUCCCUGCUACUCGGGAGGCUGAGGCAAGAGAAUCUCUUGAACCCAGGGGGUGGAGGUUGCACUGAGCCGAGAUCAUGCCAUUGUACUUCACCUGGGCAACAAGAGGGAAACUGUCUCCAAAAAAAAAAAAUUUGGAGGGCUGGGCACGGUGGCUCACACCUGUAAUCCCAGCACUUUGGGAGGCCAAGGCGGUGGAUCACAAAGUCAGGAGUUCAAGACCAGCCUGGCCAACAUAGUGAAACCCUGUCUCUACUAAAAAUACAAAAAUUAGCCAGGCAUGGUGGCACACGCCUGUAGUCCCAGCUACUGGGGAGGCUGAGGCAGGAGAAUUGCUUUGAACCCGGGAGGCAGAGGUUGUGAGCUGAGAUCGCGUCAGUACACUCCAGCCUGGGCAACAAUGCGAGAUUGCAUCUCAAAAAAAUAAAUAAAUAUUUGGAGUCCCAUAAUAAAUAAAUAUUUGGAGUCCAAUGUGAUAGUAUCUGGAGAUGGGGCCUUUGGAGGUAAUAUGGGUUAGAUAGGUCAUGACGGUAGGGCCCUCAUUAUGGGAUUAGUGGCGUUAUAAGAAGAAGAGAGAAAUCUUCCUCCUCAAGAGCAGAGGAAAAGCCAUAUAAGAAUACAGUGAGACGGCCACUUCCAAACCAGAAAGGGAGCCCCCACCAGGAACCAAAUUGGCUGGCACCUUGAUCUUGGACUUCCCAUGCUCCAGAACUGUGAGAAAUAAAUUUCUAUUAUUUAAGCCCAUGGUAGUUUUAUGGCAUCCUAAGCUAAGACAGCGCGUCUCUAGUUUCCCACAGAUUCAUAAAGGUCCAUACAAAAAUGUUAUAACUGUUAAUAGUGUCCUGUCCUUGAAUUUAACAGCAACCAACAUAUUGUUUGCAUAGUUCUUGCACCAUUUGGAAACAGUGACCUUUAGGUGUUGCAGGUAACUAUUGGGAAAUCCUUCAAUUUGUUUAACAUUUCCAUAUUUUGAUUUGCAUCUUGGGAGUUGCUUGGAAUUUGGGAUCCUCUUCUGUCUCUUGAGUUGAAAUCAGAGGCUGCUUGCCGGGCCAAGAUCACGCCACUGCACUCCAACCUGGGGCAACAGAGUGAGACUCUGUCUCAAAAAAAAAAAAAAGAAAUCAGAGAUAAUAUAAAUGCAGGUGUAAACUCAUACACUUAAUGGGCUAUAAGUUUUGGAACUGGCUGUGAUAAUAUAACAAAAGUAAUAAUGGGCUGUAAGUGGUAUUAAAUGUGGGAUUAACUGGAUAUUUAAUGAUACCAAGGAAUCAUUAAUUUUGUUUGGCUGUGAUGUUUUAUUAUUAGAAUGAUGUUAUGAUUAAAUUUUAUUUUUGUCUGGAUACAGUGGCUCACACCUGUAAUCCCAGUGCUUUGGGAGGCCGAGGCAGAUGGAUCACUUGAGGCCAGGAGUUCCAGACCAGCCUGGCCAACACGGCGAAACCCCAUCUCUACUAAAAAUACAAAAAAUUAGCCAGGCCUGGUGGUGCACGCUUGUAAUCCCAGGUACUUGGGAGGCUAAGGCAGGAGGAUCACUUGAACCCAGGGGAGGCUGCAGUGAGCUGAGAUCGUGCCACUGCACUCCAGCUUGGGCAACAGAGCAAGACUCCAUCUUAAAAAGAAGAAAGAAAGAACUUCUAUUUUUUAAAUGUUUUUUCCUUUCAUUGAACUCCAUUUAUAGCCUUUCCAUUCAGAGCAUAAAGAUUAAAUUUUAAAACAAGGCUUGGCACCCUGGCUUAUGCCUGUAAUCCCAGCACUUUGUGAGGCCAAGGUGGGCGGAUCACCUGAGCUCAGAAGUUUGAGUCCAGCCUGGCUAACAUGGUGAAACCCCAUCUCUAAAAGAGUACACAGUCCUAGAGCAGUGGUGUGCGCCUGUAGUCCUAGCUACCUGGGAGGCUGAACCAGGAGAAUUGCUUGAGCCUGGGAGGCAGAGGUUGCAGUGAGCCAAGAUCGCACCAUUACACUCCAGCCUGGGUGACAGAGAGAGACCCUGUGCCCCUCAAAAAAAUGUUUUUUUUAAACAAGAAUCUCUCAGGCAUACUGAAAUGUUGAAGAGGAAAUUAUAUUAAUAUCUGGGACUUGUUUCCAAAUUUGGAAUUGGGGCAGGGUGUAAAUUGUUGGCAAUAUCAAAGAAACGAGGAGUUGGAAUGAUAAUUGUAGAAGCUGCAUGAUAGAUACACAUUCUUUAUACUUCUGUAUAUGUUGAAAUUUUUUAUCAAAUUAUAAUUGUGUAUAAUGACUAAUUAUGCUUUCAUUGUCUAUUCUGUGUGGUUAUGUUACUUGCUGAAAUUAAUACAUAAAGAGUCUUCAACUUAAAUGACUUAUCAAGCAUAAAUAUUAAAAUACUGGAUGU